rnacentral:rRNA from 1 species
AUGUUAUAAUAUAAUGUAAGAAUAUAGGAUACAAAUUCUAAGACUAAAUAUUAUUGAUAAGCUUAAAUAAGUACCGUAAGGGAAAUUUAAUAAAUAGUUGUUCUACAAGCAGUUAUAUAUAUAUAAUAUAAUAUAUAAAUAACGUACCUUUUGUAUAAUGGGUCAGCAAGUAAUUAAUAUUAGCAAAAUAAUAAAAUUAUUAUAAAUAAUAUAAAUAUUUAACAAUGUUAAUAUAUAUUAAAAAAAAAUAAUAUAAAUAAGUUAAUAUUAAUUAACCCGAAAGCAGAUGAUCUUACUAUUAUCAAAUGAUUAAAGUAUUAAUAUUAUAAAUAAAAUUAAGGUAUUAAUAAAAACGAUUGAACAGGUUAAUGUAGCAAUAUUAUCUGAUGAAUGAUGGUAAGUAGAGAAAGUCAAAUCUGAUUUGCAAAUAGCUGGUUUUCUACGAAACAUAUGUUAGUAUGAUUAUUUAAACUUAGAAUUAUAUGGUACAGCUCUUAAUAUUAAUAAAAAUUUGGGGAAUAAUAAUUAUUCUAUCAAAGGUAUUAAAUCUCAGAAUAUAAUAAUUUCUAAAAUUAAAUAUUUCAGAUUAUUAGCGAUAAGGUUAAUAAUCAAAAGGGAAACAGCCCAGACUAAAGAUAAAGUUCCUAAUUAAUUAAUUAAGUGAAAUUAAUAUUUAAUAAAAAGGUUAAUAAUCAAAAGGGAAACAGCCCAGACUAAUAGAUAAAGUUCCUAAUUAAUUAAUUAAGUGAAAUUAAUAUUUAAUAAAUAUAUAACAAUUAGUUGAUGGGUUUGAUAAUAAUCAAUCUUUAAUGAACAUGUAACAAUGCACUAAUUAUAAUUAUAAUUAAUAAAAUAAAUAUUUAUUUAAAUCAUUAUUUUAAUAUUAUUAAAUUAAUAUUAUUAUAAUGUAAAUAAAAAAUACACGGAUCUAAAUAAUUAACUGAAUCUUUAGAUUAUUAUUAUUAAUUAAUAAAAUAAUAAUAAUGGUAGUAGAACAUCUAAUAAUAUAAAAUAUAAUUAUUAUUCAAUUAUAUAAAAUAUUUUUUUUUAAUAAAAAAUAAAUAGAAUUAGAUAGAGAAUGCUGACAUGAGUAACGAAAAUAAGGUAUAAUCCUUAUCACCUAAAGCAUAAGGUUUAACAAUAAAAGCGGUUCUUAAGUUAAAUAUUAAAAAAUAUUUCAAUGAUAGAAAUAACUAAUAUAUAAAAAAACUUAAUCAAUAUAUGUUUUUUAUAAUAAAAAAUGUAUAUAAAUUUAUUAAGUUCAAGAAGUAAUUAUAUAUUUAAUACCGUAAUGUAGACCGACUCAGGUAUGUUAGUAGAGAAUAUGAAGGUGAAUUAGAUAAUUAAAGGAAAGGAACUCGGCAAAAAUAGCUCUGACGUUAGUCAAUAAAGAGAUAUAUAUUAUUAAAAAAUAAUAAUAUAAAGAACAAGGUUGUACAACUGUUUACUAAAAACACAGCACUUUGCGGAAACGUAAGUUUAAGUAUAAGGUGUGAACUCUGCUCCAUUUUAAAAUAUAAAUAAUAUUAUUGAAAGGUAAUAUUAAUAAUUU